AGUGAACGCUGGCGGUAGGCCUAACACAUGCAAGUCGAACGGCAGCACAGUAAGAGCUUGCUCUUACGGGUGGCGAGUGGCGGACGGGUGAGGAAUACAUCGGAAUCUACUUUUUCGUGGGGGAUAACGUAGGUAAACUUACUCUAAUACCGCAUACGCCCUACGGGUGAAAGCAGUGGAUCUUCGGACCUUGCGCGAUUGAAUGAGCCGAUGUCGGGUUAGCUAGUUGGCGGGGUAAAGGCCCACUAAGGCGACGAUCCGUAGCCGGACUGAGAGGAUGAUAGGCCACACGGGAACUGGGACACGGUCAAGACUCCUGCGGGAGGCAGCAGUGUGGAAUAUUGGACAAUGGGGGCAAGCCUGAUCCAGCCAUACCGCGUGGGUGAAGAAGGCCUUCGGGUUGUAAAGCCGUUUUGUUGGGAAAGAAAAGCAGCAGGUUAAUACCCCGCUGUUCUGACGGUACCCAAAGAAUAAGCACCGGCUAACUUCGUG
rnacentral:rRNA from 1 species